UAGGCUGCAACUCGCCUACAUGAAGUCGGAAUUGCUAGUAAUCGCGGAUCAGCAUGCCGCGGUGAAUACGUUCCGGGCCUUGUACACACCGCCCGCCACACCAUGGGAGUCGGUAACACCCGAAGCCUGUAGUCUAACCGCAAGGAGGACGCAGUCGAAGGUGGGAUUGAUGACUGGGGUGAAGUCGUAACAAGGUAUC
rnacentral:rRNA from 1 species